GAAAAACUCGACGGUUCUUAUUGUGGUGGGACAGCGCAUGGGCAGGAUGGUGUAACCAUCCGGCGAUAGCCACCCAUGCGCUAGAUGACAGGCUCCCCAAGGAGCCUUUUUUUAUGCCCGAAA
rnacentral:sRNA from 17 species